rnacentral:rRNA from 1 species
GAUGAACGCUGGCGGCGUGCCUAAUACAUGCAAGUCGAGCGAACAGAUGAGGAGCUUGCUCCUCUGACGUUAGCGGCGGACGGGUGAGUAACACGUGGAUAACCUACCUAUAAGACUGGGAUAACUUCGGGAAACCGGAGCUAAUACCGGAUAAUAUAUUGAACCGCAUGGUUCAAUAGUGAGAGACGGUUUUGCUGUCACUUAUAGAUGGAUCCGCGCCGCAUUAGCUAGUUGGUAAGGUAACGGCUUACCAAGGCAACGAUGCGUAGCCGACCUGAGAGGGGGAUCGGCCACACUGGAACUGAGACACGGUCCAGACUCCUACGGGAGGCAGCAGUAGGGAAUCUUCCGCAAUGGGCGAAAGCCUGACGGAGCAACGCCGCGUGAGUGAUGAAGGUCUUCGGAUCGUAAAACUCUGUUAUUAGGGAAGAACAAAUGUGUAAGUAACUAUGCACGUCUUGACGGUACCUAAUCAGAAAGCCACGGCUAACUACGUG